UGGAGUCUGGGUUCUCGUCCCCAGGCGAUGUGCAGCGUGCCCAAACUUAGUGUUCCACGAGGCCAGAGUUCAGUUUAGAAAGAAUUGACAGAGACGAAAUGACUGUUGUUUCCAAGUUAGACCUAUGGCAUCAGCAGAUUAUUAUUAUUUUAGUUCCUUUUGAGCUGGACAUGCUCCUCUCAUACGACGUGCUGGCCCGUCAGCGCUCAAGAAUGUCAGCUGUCCAGUCUCUUUGAGUCUUCACAGACCAGAGCACGGAAAAGUCUUGGCAGCCAAGAGGACCGUAAAAAGACAGCGCAGCGCUUUUGCCCAUGUCGCCCUGCUAACUAGACUGUGGACGGCCGGCUUAUCGAUUUCGUCCAUCAGCACUUGUCACAGGGCCCUGUCAUCCCGGAGAGACCUCAUUGAAGUCGCCGUUCUCACGGAUCAGUUGCAACGCGGAGUGCGCCCACAGGCAACACGAAGCUGCUCCGGAAAAACUGAUGCUUUGUAAGCUUGAUUACCCAAGAGAUCCCGCCAGCUUGUACAAUGCCAUAGUUAGAAAGCACUGAAUACAGAAAUGACCAUUCAUGUCAGUUUGCUGGUCAAGACUGCUCUCGCAGACACCUCAAGUGCCUGCUGGGGAAUUCCCUCAAUGCAGCUGGCACUGCUGUGAUUCAUCCCCCUCCCUCACGAUCAGCAAACUAUCUAGUACUAAUUACCGAGUAAUCGGUAUAAUCGUUUCAGCCCUAGUAAGUAUCUACCCCAACACACAACCAAAGUGUGACAACAUGUGCAUGAAGCGUAUCCCCAAAGUUAACUAACAGACACUGCUCUGUGGUAUUUUAUGCUGUGCAUAUACAAGUCUCUCCUCCAAAAUGGUAUGGCAAUGAUAGUCUCGACAGGCUCCCACUGUACGACAAUAGCACGAUGGGAACUUGCAUACACAGAUA